GUGGCAGAUCCGUCUGGUGAGUGUGUGUGGACGGGACCUUUUUGGUCUUUUGGCGGCUGAGAUGUUCUUCCGCAUUCCUCUCCUGACGCCUGGAUACAUUCGAUACCUGCAGACUCAGGCAGCACGGACCGGUCUGCAGAGGGAGGGGCCCGUUGUACCCCGCUUUGCCAUGCUGCUGGGCCUUGUGGGUAUUGGCAUGUCAGGAUACAGCUCUUGCCAGCUGACCUUAUACCACAAGCCAUUGCCACAUCUCCUGCGGUGAAACACAAUGCAGGAAACAGAGAGAAAGCGCAUCGCUUUUGUUUAGAGGUGCGUUCUUUCUUAAACAGACUGAACAACCCAAAUAUCAUCAUUAUAGUUUUUUACCACAUCAUGCUGAAGCUCAUAGUCUUGCUUUGGGUGCGAGGAUAGCAGAUCCUCAACCAAGCUCUCCCAAACUUGUUCUCUGGCAACAAUGGAGUGAAUUAAAUGCUUUUACUUUUUAAUUAGUUAGUCUUAAUUAGUUAGCAUCCUUCUGAAUCAUAAAAUGACAAAGGGGAUAUUAUAUGGCCUUGUGGAGCUCAAGGAUGUCUCAAAGGCUACUUCAAUUCACCAUUUGGGACAGGGGUCCACUUAGCACUGGAUUAUAUUUUUGAUAUAAUCCCAAUUUGCAAUCCCAAAAAUAACUGUCUGUGCACCUAAAGUUCCUAUAGACCACCACAGGCUCCACAGUAAAUGCAAACCAGCCAAAGCUGUCACGUCGCAGACAUUAUGCAGAAGUAUGACUUCAGUGAUUACUGAUCUUCUUUUAAAAGACAUAUUGCUCUAAUGAAGAGAGAAAUUUCAGCAGGUCACCUUCAUAGCUAUGAGUCACUAUUUACAGGACAGGGUGUCAUCCUUAAAAAACAAUGAGCAUUUGUCUAAAGCAAACAAUUUAAAUUAUUCUUUUUUAUAUA